rnacentral:ribozyme from 10 species
AAAAAAAAAAAAAAAAAAAAAAAAAAAAAAAACAAAAAAAACAAGC